GGGCGAUUAGCUCAGCUGGGAGAGCACCUGCCUUACAAGCAGGGGGUCGGCGGUUCGAGCCCGUCAUCGCCCACCA
rnacentral:tRNA from 2 species